UAGUGCGGGGUCUUUAAACCCACUCCUGUCAGUGCAGAAGCUGCCCCAAUACAGUAAAUAUCCACCAUUAAAGGGAUGCUGCAUUUGUGUGAGCCAGCAAGAGAUGAAGGGUAGGGAGGAUAAAACAGCCAGGCAGAGGGUGCGAUCCGAGCUCUGGGAACAACCCCGGGGUCAAGGGAGGUGCAGACGGUGCCCGCCAUGUGCCUUAGGCGUGGGCAGGCUGCGAACAGGCGCUGAGCCGCGGCUGGGAAACGAAAGUGAAAGCCCGGGGGGGUCUUUUUAGCACCACUAUUUAUUUUUUUAAACUGCGUGGGCGGCAGGGCCUAGUGCAACGUGAGUGCCCCUCCGGUGAGCUCGGCGCGGGCAGGGAAACAUCCCCGGCGAACGGCACAGCCCGGGGUCGCCAGCUGGGCACGGAAAGCCCCUGUACCCGGGGGGCUUCGUGGCCAGCCCUUCGCAGGCGGGCGGGGACUUGGCCAACUCCAGGCGCUGGCGGGGCCGGGCUGUCUCUGCGGGAGGCAGGGGCUGGACUAGGCUGGGGGGGACCGGACCGGCAGCCGCUUGUCUCUCGCCCUGCUGGGAGCAUCAGACCCGUGAUCGGUGCCGCUGGCCGCAAACCCUCGGCCGGGACGCGGUGCGCGCUCGGGGCAGGAGCCUGUCGCCCCCCGCGGGGGACUCGGCGACGGGUAGGAGCCUGGAAUUGCCACUAUGGAACUAGAUCUCGGCUGUGUAGAAACCCGCCUCCACUGACCUGGCACGAGAGAGCAGAAUUUAUCUUUCGUAGUGUGGUACGGAAAUGUCUGUGGCUAUUAUUUGUACUUACAAAUUUUCCUUGACAUAUUCUGAGGCACCUGUUGUUAGUCAUUAACUCUGUCUGUUGUCUCAAUUUGCUUUAGGGACCUUUAUAAAUAUUUAUUUGCAGGCAUUAAUGUUACAUUUCUGUUUUCUCACUCUCUUGCAUAAUUGAAUUAUUGGGCUACAUUUUGCACACUCUGCUUUUGGAUGAGGAGUUUGUAGUAUAGGAAUAAACUACACUGGUCGAAGGCCCCUUUAUACCA
rnacentral:lncRNA from 1 species